UGGCUCAGGACGAACGCUGGCGGCGUGCUUAACACAUGCAAGUCGAACGGAAAGGCCCUUCGGGGUACUCGAGUGGCGAACGGGUGAGUAACACGUGGGUGAUCUGCCCUGCACUCUGGGAUAAGCCUGGGAAACUGGGUCUAAUACCGGAUAGGACCACACACUUCAUGGUGAGUGGUGCAAAGCUUUUGCGGUGUGGGAUGAGCCCGCGGCCUAUCAGCUUGUUGGUGGGGUAAUGGCCCACCAAGGCGACGACGGGUAGCCGGCCUGAGAGGGUGACCGGCCACACUGGGACUGAGAUACGGCCCAGACUCCUACGGGAGGCAGCAGUGGGGAAUAUUGCACAAUGGGCGCAAGCCUGAUGCAGCGACGCCGCGUGAGGGAUGACGGCCUUCGGGUUGUAAACCUCUUUCAGUAGGGACGAAGCGAAAGUGACGGUACCUACAGAAGAAGGACCGGCCAACUACGUGCCAGCAGCCGCGGUAAUACGUAGGGUCCGAGCGUUGUCCGGAAUUACUGGGCGUAAAGAGCUCGUAGGUGGUUUGUCGCGUUGUUCGUGAAAACUCACAGCUUAACUGUGGGCGUGCGGGCGAUACGGGCAGACUAGAGUACUGCAGGGGAGACUGGAAUUCCUGGUGUAGCGGUGGAAUGCGCAGAUAUCAGGAGGAACACCGGUGGCGAAGGCGGGUCUCUGGGCAGUAACUGACGCUGAGGAGCGAAAGCGUGGGUAGCGAACAGGAUUAGAUACCCUGGUAGUCCACGCCGUAAACGGUGGGUACUAGGUGUGGGUUUCCUUCCUUGGGAUCCGUGCCGUAGCUAACGCAUUAAGUACCCCGCCUGGGGAGUACGGUCGCAAGACUAAAACUCAAAGGAAUUGACGGGGGCCCGCACAAGCGGCGGAGCAUGUGGAUUAAUUCGAUGCAACGCGAAGAACCUUACCUGGGUUUGACAUGCACAGGACGUACCUAGAGAUAGGUAUUCCCUUGUGGCCUGUGUGCAGGUGGUGCAUGGCUGUCGUCAGCUCGUGUCGUGAGAUGUUGGGUUAAGUCCCGCAACGAGCGCAACCCUUGUCCUAUGUUGCCAGCGGGUAAUGCCGGGGACUCGUAGGAGACUGCCGGGGUCAACUCGGAGGAAGGUGGGGAUGACGUCAAGUCAUCAUGCCCCUUAUGUCCAGGGCUUCACACAUGCUACAAUGGCCAGUACAGAGGGCUGCGAAGCCGUAAGGUGGAGCGAAUCCCUUAAAGCUGGUCUCAGUUCGGAUUGGGGUCUGCAACUCGACCCCAUGAAGUCGGAGUCGCUAGUAAUCGCAGAUCAGCAACGCUGCGGUGAAUACGUUCCCGGGCCUUGUACACACCGCCCGUCACGUCAUGAAAGUCGGUAACACCCGAAGCCAGUGGCCUAACCUUUUGGAGGGAGCUGUCGAAGGUGGGAUCGGCGAUUGGGACGAAGUCGUA
rnacentral:rRNA from 1 species